UUUUUUUUUUUUUUUUUUUUUAAUUAAACAAAUUAUUUUGGAGUUCCCAUCGUGGUGCAGUGGAAACAAAUCUAACUAGGAACUGGAAGGUUUUCAGGAUCGAUCCCUGGCAUCGCUCAGUGGGUUAAGGAUCUGGCGUUGCUGUGGCUGUGGUGUAGGCUGGCAGCUAUAGCUCCGAUUGGACCCCUAGCCUGGGAACCUCCAUGUGCCACAGGUGUGGCCCUAAAAAGCAAAAAGAAAAAAAAUUAUUUUUACAGUAGGACCCCAUGGCUUAUCCAUUCCAAAUGCAAUAGUUUGCAUCUACCAAGACAUGGCAACAACCUACAUGUCCACCAACAGAUGACUGGAUUAAGAAGACAGUGGUACAUCUAUAUAAUGGAAUACUACUUAGCUUCUUCUUUUUUGUUUUUUUGGUGGCACCAGGAGCAUGAGGAAGUUCCCAUGGCAGGGAUCGAACCUACACCACAGUAGCAACCCGAGCCACAGCAGUGACAACGCUGGAUCCUAAACCCCCUGAGCUACCAGGAGACACCGAGAUUAGCUUCUUUUAACUGGGAAAUAAGACUGGUGAGUUCUAAAAUCUCCAAGGGACUUUCCACCAUGAAUUCUGUAUUUUGAUUACUUCAUCCCGUAUUUUUCAUAGUGUUAUUUGAUAUAUUUUAUCAUCAUACAUGGUAACUGUUAUGUUUUGAUUUUUUGUACUAAUCACUUUCAAAUAAGCAUUUAAUAUUAAUGCUUAAAAAAAAGAAUGUUUAUAAUAACCUCAUCUAUCAUUACGUAUCUCUGUUCCCAUACCACAGACUGGGGAGUCGAAGCUCAGGGAAGCCGUUUGCCCAUGAUCCUGUAGCUGGUGAUUGGCACAUACAGAGCUUGAAACCAAGGCUCUGGUUCGAAACCCAAGGAAGGCUCUUUUACUGUCCCCUGUCACUGCCCUUUGAUGUUUGCAGCGGAGAGUCAGGCACUGCCCUCUGCCCGGCUGCCUCUGGAAAGCUCCGCUCAAGGGCCCCUGUACCCUAAACCAGCCGGCCCCUCUGCCCCCACCUGCAAAGACUCCUGGUCUGCCUGAGUAGUUACAUCUCCAGAAGCAGCUGCACUGUCAGGAAGCCAGUGAAUUACCACCCUCCAGCUCACGCUCAGCUGCCUACAGAGAAGUCUCUAAGACAUAAGCUUUACCACAAGCUUAGUGGCUGAAAGCAACAAAAAUACAUUCUCUUACAGUCCUGUAGGCCAGGUGUCCAACACAGGUCUUCCUGGGCUGAAAAUCAAGGUGCUGGCUGGGCUCUAUUCCUUCCUGGACGCUCUAGAGGAGGAGCCUUUUCCAGCUUCUAGAAGCUGCUCACAUUCCUUGGUCCCUCUCAUCCAUCUUCAAAGCCAGCCUCAGCGGACGAAGUCCUUAUGCCCAACUUGCAGACCCUCUGACCAUGACCUGGAAGGUCUCCCUGUCCUAAGGGCUCAGGUGGUUAGAGUGGGCGCGCCGGGUGAUCCAGGCUCAUUCCCCAUCAAAGCCCUUAACUCUAACCACGUGGGCUACAUACAGUAACAGAGUCCCAGGUUUGGGCGAUUACACAACCUCUGGUGGAGGGUGUUCUUUCUACCGUAUUGGGCAACAGUUUCUCAUUCUGUGUGAACGUCAGACAGCAAUCCAAUGGCUCUCGAUGGCCUGUUAGAUUUUGUCAACCUUUAGCCUCUAGGAUGUCAGCGGAAAGCUAUGUCUCCUCUCCCCUGACCUGGCCACUUGCUGACCAUCUAAGCCAAAUCAGUGGAAGACACUGUUCUUACCCCCGGAUUUCCCUGUAUUUAUUCUCCCAAACUUCUUCCACGGAGGACCACCCUUUAACUCUCUCCACAGUCCCCUUAUUUAAAGUCAGCUUCCCUUACUCAUUUUUCCCCCACGAAGUUCCCCCAACGCCUUCCUGCCUUAUGCAAACCCUGACUCUCCUUAGAAGAUGCUAUUUCCCCAGCUAUUCUGUUCUUUUAUUCGUUUGUUCUUCUGGCUGCUCCAAGGCACGUGGAGUUCCCGAACCAGGAUCAGAUCUGAGGGCAUGCUUGCCACCUGAGCCACAGCUGUGGCAACUCCGGAUCCUUAACUCACUGUGCUGGGCAGGGAUCGUACCUGCAUCCUAGCGCUCCCAAAGACACCACCCAUCUCAUUGCACCACCGUGGGAACUCCUAUUUCCCCAGCAAUACUGUUCACUAGAAAGUUGCUCCUGGUGUUCUCAUUGUGGCGCAGCAGAAAUGAAUCGGACUAGGAACCAUUAGGUUUCGGGUUCGAUCCCUGGCCUUGCUCAGUGGGUUAAGGAUCUGGCGUUGCUGUGAGCU
ensembl:lncRNA